UGUUCAUUGAGUAAAAAUAAGUCCCUUUGGCUGCUCCUUUGUUUUUAUUCUGGGCCACCACAGCAGAGCCGAGGUGGAUCUUCAUGUCGGGUCGGCACAAGUUUUAUGCCGGAUGCCCUUCCUGACGGAACUCCAUAUUACAUGGAGAAUGGGCAAGAGUGGGUUUGAACUGAGAACCUUCUGCUCUAGAAACAAGCGCACUUCACCGCUUGACCGCAACCUCUGCCUGGAAAUUUGAUAGCUACUUAAAACAGCUGGCUUCUUCUGCACUUUGCUUUCUCCUAUUAUGUGGCGCAGCCCCUAGUGGUGAACAAAAGGUGAGCAGAGGCAGCAUUAACGUGUUGCUCUA